GACGAACGCUGGCGGCGUGCUUAACACAUGCAAGUCGAACGGAAAGGCCCUGCUUGCAGGGUGCUCGAGUGGCGAACGGGUGAGUAACACGUGGGUGAUCUGCCCCUUACUUUGGGAUAAGCCUGGGAAACUGGGUCUAAUACUGGAUAGGACCAUGCUGUAGGUGGUGUGGUGGAAAGAUUAGUUUCGGUAAGGGAUGAGCUCGCGGCCUAUCAGCUUGUUGGUGGGGUAAUGGCCUACCAAGGCGUCGACGGGUAGCCGGCCUGAGGGGGUGGACGGCCACAUUGGGACUGAGGUACGGCCCAGACUCCUACGGGAGGCAGCAGUGGGGAAGAUUGCACAAUGGGCGCAAGCCUGAUGCAGCGACGCCGCGUGGGGGAUGACGGCCUUCGGGUUGUAAACUCCUUUCAGCCAUGACGAAGCCCUUGUGGUGACGGUAGUGGUAGAAGAAGCACCGGCUAACUACGUG
rnacentral:rRNA from 1 species